rnacentral:rRNA from 1 species
AUGGACUCAGAUGAGGAGGAAGAGCUCGCCGCACUGCUGGAGGAGGAAGCCGCGGCCGACGUCCAGGAAGAAGAGCAUCUGAUGGUGCUCGCCGCCCUCGCCCAGCUGCUGGCGAGCAAUGAAAAGCCGCGUCGAGGUGGCUCGGCGCCGGGACGGGUGAAAGCAAAGAACCGGCAUCGUCUGCAAGGCUACUGCAUGCUCUACUCCGACUACUUCGCCGAUGCUCCACUUCAUGGCGAGAGAACAUUUCGGCGCCGUUAUCGGAUGAGCCGAAAGCUCUUCCUCAGGAUUGUGAAUUCCAUCCGGGAGUUCGACAACUACUUCAAGUGCAAGAUGGAUUGCACUGGAGCUCUUGGAUUCACCUCCAUCCAGAAGUGCACGACAGCGAUGAGGAUGCUUGCAUAUGGAGCUUCCAGUGAUUCACUCGACGACUAUGGGCGCAUGGCCGAGUCCACCAGCAUAGAGUGUUUCUACAAGUUCUGUCGGGCAGUGGUGGCAGUGUUUGGGCCACAAUACUUGAGAACACCCAAUGCGAAAGACACUGCUCGGAUCCUAGCCCAGAAUGCAGCAAGAGGAUUUCCUGGGAUGCUCGGAAGCAUCGACUGCAUGCAUUGGCAAUGGAAGAACUGCCCAUUUGGUUGGCAGGGGAUGUACAAAGGCGCCAAAGGCGGUUGCAGUGUGGUGCUUGAGGCGGUAGCCACACAGGACCUCUGGAUUUGGCACUCCUUCUUUGGUAUUGCCAGGAACUCACAAUGA